rnacentral:rRNA from 1 species
GACGGAGGGAUGCAAGUGUUAUCCGGAAUCACUGGGCGUAAAGCGUCUGUAGGUGGUUCGAAAAGUCCACUGUUAAAAAUUGACGGCUUAACUUCAAAGAUGCCGUGGAACUUUCAAACUAGAGUAUGGUAGGGGUAGAGGGAAUUUCCAGUGGAGCGGUGAAAUGCGUAGAUAUUGGAAAGACCACCGAUGGCGAAGGCACUCUACUGGGCCAUUACUGACACUGAGAGACGAAAGCUAGGGGAGCAAAUGGG